rnacentral:rRNA from 1 species
UACGUAGGGUGCGAGCGUUACUCGGAAUUACUGGGCGUAAAGCGUGCGCAGGCUGUUUUGUAAGUCAGAUGUGAAAUCCCCGAGCUCAACUUGGGAACUGCGUUUGAAACUACAAGACUAGAAUAUGUCAGAGGGGGGUAGAAUUCCACGUGUAGCAGUGAAAUGCGUAGAGAUGCGGAGGAAUAUCAAUGGCGAAGGCAGCCCCCUGGGAUAAUAUUGACGCUCAUGCACGAAAGCGUGGGGAGCAAACAGG